rnacentral:lncRNA from 1 species
GCGGCAGUACCUUUUUGUAAACGUAACGUCGUUCCCGGCAUAUUUGACAGUUGCGGAUUUAACGUUACGAAAUUCCGCCAUCAUGUGGCGUUCGAAUAACAUCUUUGUUUUCUAGCUGGUUAUGAAUCCUACAUUUCUUUAGUUACUUGUAUUUACAUGCUUUGUAUUGUUGAAUCGGUGUCAAGACUUAUGACAUCGUGCUUGCUUUCUUUAUAAUUCAU